rnacentral:rRNA from 1 species
CUCAGGUGUUGUUGGGUAGGGGAGCGUUCUGUAAGCCUGUGAAGGUGGCCUGUGAGGGUUGCUGGAGGUAUCAGAAGUGCGAAUGCUGACAUAAGUAACGAUAAAGCGGGUGAAAAGCCCGCUCGCCGGAAGACCAAGGGUUCCUGUCCAACGUUAAUCGGGGCAGGGUGAGUCGACCCCUAAGGCGAGGCCGAAAGGCGUAGUCGAUGGGAAACGGGUUAAUAUUCCCGUACUUGGUGUUACUGCGAAGGGGGGACGGAGAAGGCUAUGUUGGCCGGGCGA